GGGAGCCGUAGGGAAACCGAGUCUUAACCGGGCGUUAAGUUGCAGGGUAUAGACCCGAAACCCGGUGAUCUAGCCAUGGGCAGGUUGAAGGUUGGGUAACACUAACUGGAGGACCGAACCGACUAAUGUUGAAAAAUUAGCGGAUGACCUGUGGCUGGGGGUGAAAGGCCAAUCAAACCGGGAGAUAGCUGGUUCUCCCCGAAAGCUAUUUAGGUAGCGCCUCGUGAAUUCAUCUCCGGGGGUAGAGCACUGUUUCGGCUAGGGGGCCAUCCCGGCUUACCAACCCGAUGCAAACUGCGAAUACCGGAGAAUGUUAUCACGGGAGACACACGGCGGGUGCUAACGUCCGUCGUGAAGAGGGAAACAACCCAGACCGCCAGCUAAGGUCCCAAAGUCAUGGUUAAGUGGGAAACGAUGUGGGAAGGCCCAGACAGCCAGGAUGUUGGCUUAGAAGCAGCCAUCAUUUAAAGAAAGCGUAAUAGCUCACUGGUCGAGUCGGCCUGCGCGGAAGAUGUAACGGGGCUAAACCAUGCACCGAAGCUGCGGCAGCGACGCUUAUGCGUUGUUGGGUAGGGGAGCGUUCUGUAAGCCUGUGAAGGUGGCCUGUGAGGGUUGCUGGA
rnacentral:rRNA from 1 species